rnacentral:tRNA from 1 species
UCCUUCGUGGUGUAGUGGUCAGCACGUUUGGCGCGUAACCGAGAGCACUGUGGUUCGAUUCCCGGCGAAGGCG